rnacentral:tRNA from 1 species
GGAGAGAUGGCUCAGUGGUUAUGAGCACUGACUGCUCUUCCAGAGGUCCUGAGUUCGAUUCCCAGCAACCACA